UUUUUCUAAUGUGUUAGGCUUGAACCAGUUACAUGAGGUGAUGGUUGAUGGUGGCGGAAGUGGUUUUGGGAGAGACUAUUUUAGCAAAGUGUUUUAUCAGGCUGAUGAGUCUAUGAUUGGUUAUCUACGCCUUCUUAAAUUCAUAACCCAAGUUUGUUGUGAUGUCUGUCAUCAUUCCAGUUGACUCUCACAGUGGUGAACUUUACAACAGCUGUCAGAAUGGGAACCAGAACAAUUACCUCAGUGAAAGCCAAAACAUUUUCAUUGUUCAACAAACCAAUGCAAAUCAUGUGAUGCUUGUUGAGAGUGCAUGUUCAUUCAGCAGACUGUUGGUAAAGGACCAAAAAACGAACACAAAGCAAGGAAGGAAGGCUUGAGAGCAGAGAUUUUCAUUAUUUCCACGCAUGGAAACUGAAAUGAUGACGAUCCUUGUGUAGAGAUCUAGAUGCUUUGUUCCCAAGGUGAUGUGAAAUGGUGGGAAGUGUUCCUUCACUCUACUAAACAAAUACUGCAUGGAUCUUCAGUAUCUUCAGUUAGUACUGGAACUGUGAUGACACUGGGGAAAUAUUCUACAAUCUUCACCAUGGUUAUGGUUGAAUAGGGAUUCCUACAUAGCAAUUGCUAUUGCAUUGUGUAAUGCCAGCAUGUAUGUUUUUCUAAGCAAGCGACAGUGUGUCAAGGUGGAAGCUGUGCAUCUGGACAGGAUAAGAGUGGUUGUAUUCCAAAGACUGUAAGCAUGAAAUCACCUGGCCUUGUGCGGAAGACAUCUAUGAAUCGACCAACCAGAUGUAUACCUCUAAUUUAAACUCCUGAAAGUCCCCAUGGUUGUGGGUGGUGCAGACAGAAUGUGAGCCAGGAAGUACAUCUGUAAAAGCCCAGACAUUCCAUAUGUAGGAGUACCUUCAUUCUUCAAGUCUGUACAAGAGAUCUUUGUGAGGAUGAUAGUGAAGAUAAUACAAGGAUUCAGCACACCAUAUCAGUCCAACUGAAGGACAAAGUAUCCAUUGAUGCAGUUGCAUCUUAGCUAAGAAGUUAACUUGGAUCUGCUUCACAGGGAGUCAUUGAUGAUCAACUAAGUAGUAGGAUACAGUUUUCUGAUCAGAUGAAAUCACUUUAUCUUAUCUGGCUGGAAUUUAAAGAGCUGAGACUACCAUCAGGAAAAUCUACCAUGUAGUAACACUAACCCAGAACAUUGCUACUGAGUCUACCACACAGUAAUGCUGACUAGAAAAUUGCUAUUGACUCUACCACACAGUAAUGCUGACUAGGAAAUUGCUAUUGAGUCUACCACACAGUAAUGCUGACUAGGAAAUGGCUAUUGAGUCUACCACACAGUAACACGAACCCAGAGCAUUGCUACUAUGUCUUCUAUACAGUAACGUUUAUUCAGAACAUUGCUACUGAGUCUACCACACAGUAAUGUGGACAAGGACAUUGCUGUUAUGAGUUUCCAUGCAGUAACACUUGACUGGAGUAGUCCACACAGGAAAAACACACAGUAACAUUGACUUAGGAUGUUGCUACAGAGUAUUCCACACUGUAAUACUGACCCCAAAGUGUAGCUUUUCUAUGGAAAAUUCAGACAGAUAACUGAAGUUACCUGUCAGUAGGGGCAAUAAAAUCUUUAUUAUCCGUUUAUGUUAACACUCCUGAUAUUGAAGGCUCAGGACUCUGCUGAACACUGGAAAAAAAGCGGAGAUAAACAUGCAACUCACUGUGUGUGACAUUAGCGCAAAUUUUUUUUAAAUGUGAUCAUGAUAUAUAGACAUUAAAAUUAUUUUAAGUAACAUUCAAGUAAUGGUCAAAGGUGGUAGUGAAAAGUCACUGAAUGUGACAUCAAAGUUUAGAUGACUGAAAAAGAAAGACAGUUAUACCUGCUGGUAAAAAUCUAUAAGAUUAGAUAUUAAAAUAAUGUUUAAAAAUGACAGUAGGUACAGUAAAAUGUGAAUGUGGUUUGAUUGGUAAUGUCAAAUAAUAAAGGGUAACUCAUUGUUCAA